AAUUAUCUAGCUCUGUGUUGGGUAUAGAGUUAUUUCCAGGCUAGUUCACUAGCUUGGGAAAGGCUAGUUGCAAAGCUAGCCUGUAGCCUUGAUUUGGACUUAAUUUAGAAAACUGUCUUCACAGGUAUUGGCGGUAUUGCUGCUACCCUUGAUUCCAACUUAAUUCCCAUGAAUAUCAGCUGAUGCCACUGGUACAUUUGGUGAAAUAGGUUUUGUUUCUUGUGACAUGCUGCCCGAUACCAACCAUUACAAAGCAGAAAUAAUAAUUAUGAUCAGAAGUGUUCUUGGGGAAAAGUUUAUGCUGAUGUGAGCAUAUGAAAAGAUGUUGCAACUAUUGUUUAAUUUGAUGUCACUACAUGAACCUUUUGGGUUGUGUUACCAAGAUGUCAUGGUGUUGUUUAGAUAUACUUUACCCAAAAGGUGAUAUAUUUAUUCUGGUCUAGAAACUUCUUCUGAAGGUUUGGCAAUUCUUAUGCUUUCUGUCCAAACUGAAAAGAUAGAUUCUGAUUGAGAUUAAGUUUGGAUUUGUAUUUGGUCAGCUGAUGUAAACAAAGUAUGUAUGAAAACAUGGAUUCAUGAUUCAUCAGCUUCUUCCAAGGAAAUGAAUCUUGAAGAAAAAUUUCAUAUUGACAAUAAUUUGUUAAAAGCAAGUUUUCAGCUUCUCCAUACAAAUGGAUUUGAAUCAAAUUAUUGGUUUCUUUCGUAAAUUAUGAGAAAGGGUCAUGUAAAUCUUUAAGGAGAGUGUUUGGUUAAAGCUUUGUGGUUGUCAUGAUUUGUUUGCUUUCAUGGAAUGUGAGAGGAUUGAACCACCCAGGAAAUGCCUAAAAGUUUGUUUCUGAAAAUGGUGGUACAAGCUAGUUUGUACUCAAGAGACCAAAAGUGAGGAUAUGUCAAUGGAGAUUGUUAGAAGUAUUUGUGGCAGUAGAUGAACAAGUCGGGUUGCUCUUGGGGCCUCAGUUAUGGCAUCAGGUAUUUUAAUGCUACCAGAUGUAUGUGUUUUUGACUUAGUUGGCAUUAUCGUGGGUGUUUUUUUAUUGCAUGUUUGUGUAAAAAGAAGUUUUGAGUGAGUGCUCUAUAGGGUUUAUGGGCGGAUGGAGAUAGCAAUAAUGUUAGUCUCUGGAGUGGGUUGUCCUUAUUGAAUGCUAGGCAUUGCAGUUGACUUUAAUGUUAUAAGGUUGAUAUCGGAGAGAAGUAGUGGAGGCUCUAUAAGGAUGGCUAUAAGAGUUUUUUUUCUCUGAUUUUAUUGGUAUUAAAUAGUUGAUGGAUUUGCCCCUGGAUGGUGUUUUGUUGAGAUUGGAUAAAUUUUUAGUGUCUUUUUUGGGAGGAUCAUUUUCUAAAUGUUAGAUAGUCUUGCCUUCUUCCUGUUUUGCUUGAUUUGCGCCUAUGCGGGGGAUAUGGGAGAUGUGAUCUAGGAUUGACCACCCAGUUUUGAAAACAUGUGGUUGAGGAGAGGAGGGGUUUAUGGGAAUUGAUGGUUCUCUAAUGCAUAAGAGGACUAACCAAGCUUUUACCUUACUAAGAAGAUUAAGCUAUUGAAGAGGAUCUUAAAUGGUGGAACAGAGAGAAUUUUGGGAAUUUUAACCUUAAAAUUGGCAAAUUAUUAGAAGAAAUCCACUUCUUGGUGGAACAGAGUGAGGUAGAAGAUUAUUGCCAUUGGCAAUAGAAGUCUAGAAUAGUUUUUCUCAAAGAAGGCUUAUAGAAACACUAAAUUUUUCCGCAAGAUGGCUACUCUAUAUGCAGGGCAGCCUUGGAUAGAGAGCAGGUCGUUGGGAAGGAGACCAUCUCUAAGGCUAUCUUGGAGUUUUAUGCAACUGGCAAAGAAAGAUGAAGGCUACCUUACUCAGACUGCAGUGAUAUGGGCAAGCAUUCUGGGAAAAUAUUGAGAACUGCCAAGUGGUUUCUGGAAGAACUGCUGGGAGGGGGCAACAGAGAGGGGUGACCACAUGCAGUGGAAAGAAAGACAUUUUCUUGAGUACAUUCAAUAUGUAUGACAGGAGCUUCUUAUCCCUUUCUAGUGGCAUUUAGGUGAAUCAGAGGUCAAAGAGCCAACUGGGUGACAUCACACUGGCCGUUGAAGACGUCACACAGAGAGACUGGGUAAGCUUGGCCUCCUGCUGCAUUUUGUAAGUUGGUGAUGCAUCCAUUUUGACAUUCUUUUCAGGUUAGUCCCCCUCUUUACUAACCUGUUGAAGGUAAGAUACUUGUUGAGUUCUUGGAUAUGAGCCUUCUAUCCACAUCCUCUUAAGGUCCCAGCUGGUGAGGUACCCAGCCCUGGUUGAGAUUCCAGAGUUUUGAGGAGAAUUGACUAUUGGAAAGGACCUGGGGUCUGAGCAGAAAACUUGCCUAGCUGGCAUUACACUUGAGUUACUGGUCCAAGGUGUGGCUCUAUCAGGGGUCCUCCAAUUGAAUGUGCUUCCACUUGAGUUGCUGGCUCAAAGGCAUAAGUCUGCUCUUUGUCAAAUGAGCAAGCCACCAUCUUCCAGUUACCUUAGAGGCCUAACACAUGGAGCCAAGCUGGUUGUUGUACUUGUUAGGGAGAGAUUACUAUAUUGCAAGACUAGGGGACACCUGCAGUCUAUAAAUCAUAUAUCAACUAAAUAAUUUCCACUAUUUUGAAUAUAAAUAUUAAAUAAUAAUUCGUCAAGUGAAAACAUUGUUUGAGGAUGAGUUUGUAAUUCUGGUAUAGCUAAUAAGAAUAGUUUUUGCUCCCCUUAUUCAUUUUCUGUCAUUUCUCAUCUAUAUUCCCUCUUCAUCUCCCCAUGAUGUAUGAUACUGCAAGCCAUGCUCACUGCUUGCUCUUGUUGGAAUUAAAUCAUGUAAAGUCACUAUAAACUCACUUUAAUGGACAAAACUAAAAUUAGGAUUAUAAGGCUUAUAAUUUCACCCCUUCUGUUUUUCUAGCAAUAUGUAUAAUAAGAGAAAACUGCAUGCUCAAUUUCAGUGCCACCAUCAAUUUGGUUCUAUCUUCAUUUUACUUUUCUUUUUCUAUUGUGAUUGACUAUUAUUGCGGAUUUGUUUCCUUGUACUUCAUAGUCUUUUUAUGUGUAUCUCUUCCUAAGUUUUAAUAUUUUAGAUUGAGGACAUUGUUUAGUGUUUUAUUUUUUUAAGAUGCACUUGCAAUGCUAGUUGGCACCAUUGAUUGAAACUUA